rnacentral:rRNA from 1 species
GGAUGAACGCUGGCGGCGUGCCUAAUACAUGCAAGUCGAGCGAACAGACGAGGAGCUUGCUCCUCUGACGUUAGCGGCGGACGGGUGAGUAACACGUGGAUAACCUACCUAUAAGACUGGGAUAACUUCGGGAAACCGGAGCUAAUACCGGAUAAUAUAUUGAACCGCAUGGUUCAAUAGUGAAAGACGGUUUUGCUGUCACUUAUAGAUGGAUCCGCGCCGCAUUAGCUAGUUGGUAAGGUAACGGCUUACCAAGGCAACGAUGCGUAGCCGACCUGAGGGGGUGAUCGGCCACACUGGAACGGAGACACGGUCCAGACUCCUACGGGAGGCAGCAGUAGGGAAUCUUCCGCAAUGGGCGAAAGCCUGACGGAGCAACGCCGCGUGAGUGAUGAAGGUCUUCGGAUCGUAAAACUCUGUUAUUAGGGAAGAACAAAUGUGUAAGUAACUAUGCACGUCUUGACGGUACCUAAUCAGAAAGCCACGGCUAACUACGUG